rnacentral:rRNA from 1 species
CCUACGGGUGGCAGCAGUGGGGCAUAUUGCACAAUGGGGGAAACCCUGAUGCAGCGACGCCGCGUGAGUGAAGAAGUAAUUCGUUAUGUAAAGCUCUAUCAUCAGGGAAGAAAAUGACGGUACCUGCGUAAGCAGCCCCGGCUAACUACGUGCCAGCAGCCGCGGUCAUACGUAGGGGGCAAGCGUUAUCCGGAUUUACUGGGGGUAACGGGAGCGUAGACGGCAGUGCAAGUCUGGGGUGAAAGGGGGGGGCUCAACCCCCGGACUGCACUGGAAACUGUACGGCUGGAGUGCAGGAGAGGUAAGUGGAAUUCCUAGUGUAGCGGUGAAAUGCGUAGAUAUUAGGAGGAACACCAGUGGCGAAGGCGGCUUACUGGACUGUAACUGACGUUGAGGCUCGAAAGCGUGGGGAGCAAACAGGAUUAGAUACCCCUGUAGUC